rnacentral:lncRNA from 1 species
ACGUCUGAAUUUUAAUCACACCUCUCUAACACUAUUAAAGGUUCAAGCUCAGAAAGCUGAGCCACACCCUUCUCUUCCCUCUUCGCAAAGCGUCAAACUCUCUUUGAAACCACUAGUAAGCGAUUGCUGCGCGUAAGCCAUGCACCCAAUCACUCUGCCACGCUACAUAUCCUCCUCUCCCUCUCUUUUUGUUUUUUCUUUUCACGAGACUCCUUAAGCUUUUUCAUAGCAUUGGAGGAAGAGGUGGUGCGUCUGUGGAUUUAUAUGUUAUAGGUGCAGAGAAUAUGGCCAUUUUCCCUACAGUCUAGUUUCCUUCACAGUUUGGAACAAUUAGAAAAAGUCAUUUUCCGCUUUCAGAAGCGGGAGUUUUUGAGUUUUUAUGAAUUGAAAGGAAGAGCAUCAAUUGCAUGGUCCUAAUCUUUGGAUCAGAUUGCAUUAUCUGUAUAUGUAUAAGUAUACUUAUUAUAUUUGUCCAGGCUAGCAGGCUAGCAGCAGGUUUCUUGAACUCCCAAUGUGAUAGAGAAGUUAAUUAGGAUAUGUUCAUGGUGAAUUUUCUCACCUCCUUACUUUGCAAACCAGAAAAUGACAUAUGUUAUGAUGAUAGAAAUGCAACUCUUUCUAUCUAUUAACAAGAUGUAGAUGUUUGAGAAU